rnacentral:lncRNA from 1 species
CCAAUUCUCCCAUUUGACCCUAUACCGCAUGUCUCCACUAACUAAAAAAGUGCAAACACCUUCCUCACAUCGCCAGCUGUCGAUUUACCGCACCUACGAUUUCUCGGAAUCGCGCUGGCCAAAUGCCGCGCCCAGAAGCACCGCCUGUUGACGUUUUAGCGAGCGCCCGGGCGGGCCCAGUGGCGCUCCCGAUCUGAGAUCCCCAGGAGAGUGGAGGGAUGCCCGUUAGACAGCGCGCACAUGUCACUGCAUCCAGGCGUUUUGUCUUGUCACAGUCGGAAACCACUCCAGUGCCAUUCUGCGUCCAGUGAAGAGCUGAAGCAAGCGCCUAUUCCGUGACACCGCCACACGAGCCACACGAUGUCAGAAACCAAAGGGGAGAA